rnacentral:siRNA from 1 species
AGACUUGAUCUUGUGGGUUUGCCA